rnacentral:lncRNA from 1 species
ACAUUAACAUGAGCACUUGGCAAAACUUCCCCCAACCUUUCCAGACCAAACACAUCGACAAAGCACCAGACAAAAGAAUAAAAUAAUAAAACUUUAACAUGACAUAACUGCCCAAAACUAGACCUACCAACAAAGGAUAACAAUCAUCAAACUAGAAUAUCAUGCCACCAAAAAGAGGUGCUAGGUCAUAAAUAAUGAUCGAUCACCACUGUUUAAAUACAAGAGCUGCAGUUCUUGUUGGACAUAUAGGAUUCUGCAGGACCGCUGCUUGAGAGAUGGAGGAGAUAACAGACCAGCACCUAUUUACAUCUGCCUUCUCCUCAAAAUGCGGAGUUUAUAAAUUGCACCCACCUAAUCAUCUCCUGAAUGGAGGCUCCCUCUGUAUCGUAUGUAACAAAUUCUGAACAACUUCAGACAUUGGCGGACGGAAUUCUGGCUCUGACUGCAAAACAACAGAUGUAGCUUAGCCUCCUUAGUUAUAAUAACAAGGUGCUUAGGAUGUGGACAAAUAUAAUAGAGAGUUCAUACACAGUUUUUUUUUCCUCAUUAAUUAUAGGCAAAGGAUAAAAAUCUUAGAGCAUUCCCAAUGAUAAAAUACUUUUAGUGGUGCCACAUAGGAUGGUUUUAAGAAAUUUUGGUGUUUCCAAUGAUUUUAGCAAAAAAAAAGGUUUAGUGUUUCCAAUGGUGGAUUAUUGAAACCACACUCAUUGUGGGGUAUGGAUCUUCCUUUAGAUGAGUUUUUAGAUGAGUCCAUACCGCACUAAUUGUGAGGUAUGGAUCCAUACCGUACUAAUUGUAGCGGAUGGAUCCAUACCGCACUAAUUAUGGCGGAUGAAUUCCUACGUGACACUUUUAACUCUUUGGCAAAUUUGCCAAGGAGUUAAAAGUGUUUUGCUUGAAAAGUAUGUUAAAAGCUACCAUCGACAAGUGUUUACACUAAAAGUUUACUAAAAAUUUGCUAAAACCUACCAUUGAGAAUGCUCUUAGAAACUUCAGACACUAUUAUACCAACUCAUUUAUUACUAGUAGAAUAUACUUAUCCAAAGAAUAGCAUCGUUUUGACAUCAAAGAUUCUUUUGAUAAACAGACAAGGAAAACCAACAGUUUCUGAGUUUAGCAUUAAAUCCUAUCAUUCUCUUAAAGUCUUUUGUUCUCUUUCUUCAGACUCAGAUUUUCCCACUGCCAAUGUAUAUGUUGAUCUGUAGAAGAGGUCUAUAGGAGCUUCCAUUACCACUUUACCUCAUUAUGAGUUAUGACCAAGCUAGGUUGAAAGCUAUUUUGGCAAACUGAGGCUGUCCACUGAAAUGAAGCGAGGCAUAUGCCUUGAGGCGGAAUGAGGCGCCAGCCUCAGUUUUUAUUAGGUAUAUUAUAAUAAUUCCAGAUAUAAUAGGCAUAAAUCACAAUAAUUCCAAACAUAUUUAAGAAAUAUAUAUAGUACCGUUUGGAAAAAUCAAUGCAUAAGGCUGUAAUUAAAAAAGUCUUUUACAAGUGUAAUAAUAGGAAAUUCCAUAAUUGCCAAUCAGUUUUGUGAACUAAGAAUAAGAUUAUAGAUAUUAAGAAUAUUUUUGGUUAACAGAUUUAAAAAAUAUGAAGAUUUUCAUUAAAUUUCUUCGUAAAUUGUGAGGAUAAAACAUAAAUAUUCUCUUCUAGUUGAAAAAACCUAAAAUAAAUGAAAAUUGAAACUCAAUAUAACUUUUAAGUUUGGAUUUUAUGAGCUCACAGUACCCCAAGGCUUAAACCUCAAAGUGUGCCUCACACUCAUAACUUCGUAAGGCGUAUAUCUGAUUUGGAGCAUUAGAGGCGUAUGCCUCAGUGCCUUGUAUUAUUGCCUCCCUUCAACGCGUGCCUUAAAAACACCUUUUUAAACCAUGAUUAUGACAAAUGGGGUUUACUCAAAACGUGACCAUAAAAGGGGGUUAAGUCCAAAAAUCUCGGGAAAAUUCCAUAAGCAACCCAAGAAUAAUUUGGAUGUCAAAACUUUCCAUGCACACUGUAAAUCUAUUUAUUAAACUACAUCGCUUCGGACUUCAGAUUUUUUGUUGUCGUUAGAGUAAAAGUUUGUAAGUGCAAUGAAAUUGGUCAGUUUGGUGUUUUAAAGAUGUAAAUUCUUAGUUCUGUCAGUUCACAUAUUUUACACUUAUUAUUUCAACCGUUCCAUUGGAACUCUGGAAGAAUAAUCAUAAUAAAUCGCUUACCACUAAUAACAACAAUAAAGAAAUGUAUUCAAUGAGGUACCUGAGGAAUUCCAAUGCAUGCAUUGUAAAAACGUUGGAGUUGGUACUUGUCACCCUCAUUUGCAGAAGUAAACUUAUAUCGUGUUUCU